ACUCCCGUUAAAAGCGCAUACUUCGAAAUUCUCUCAGAGCUGUGUUAUAUUUAGAGAAGUAUUUCGUUAGUCUAAACUUUUAUCCAGACAGUCUCAUCAUGCCCGAUCCCGAUUGCCAGUGUGGUGACAAGUGCACAUGUGGAGAAGAAUGCAAAUGUAGCAAAGAGGGAGGCUGCGAAUGUCCCACGUGUACCGAGAAGGAAUGUGAAGAUAAAAAGAAAUGUCCUCAAGGAGGAGAAUGUGGCUGUGAUCCAUGUAGUUGUCCGAAGUGAACUCGGAAGAAGACAAGAUGUGGAGUAAAAACCCAUUCUAGUGAACAAGUCAAACAUCAUUGGUCAGGAAAAGCCUCUCAAUAGAUAAUAAUUUAUUUCUAGAAUAAUUCACCUUUUAUUGGCCAUUUCAUAUUGAGAGAUAAAAAUCCAUUAAUUGUCUUUUUAGUAAACGCUAUUCCCUCUUGUUA